UUGGCCCGAUGUCCGAUUUAGGCCUAGUGCGGGUUAACGCCACAGCGAUGAUCGUAGCUUGUCUGAGAGGAUGAUUCAGCACACUGGGACUGAGACACGCCCAGACUCUACGGGAGGCAGCAGUGGGGGAUUUGGACAUUGGGGCACCCUGAUCCAGCAUUCCGCGUGAGUGAGAGGCUUCCGGGUUGUAAGCUCUUUUGUCCGGAGCGAAACGGUGGCGGUGAAUAUCCGCCACUACUGACGGUACCGGAAGAAUAAGCACCGGGCUAACUACGUGCCAGCAGCCGCGGUAAUACGUAGGGUGCGAGCGUUAAUCGGAAUUACUGGGCGUAAAGCGUGCGCAGGCGGGCUUUUAAGCCAGACGUGAAAUCCCCGGGCUCAACCUGGGAAUGGCGUUUGGGACUGGGAGUCUGGAGUGCGGCAGAGGAGACUGGAAUUCCUGGUGUAGCAGUGAAAUGCGUAGAUAUCAGGAGGAACACCGAUGGCGAAGGCAGGUCUCUGGGCUGACACUGACGCUCAUGCACGAAAGCGUGGGGAGCAAACAGGAUUAGAUACCCUGGUAGUCCACGCCCUAAACGAUGUCGACUGGUUGUUGGGGGUUUGACACUCUCAGUAACGAAGCUAACGCGUGAAGUCGACCGCCUGGGGAGUACGGCCGCAAGGUUAAAACUCAAAGGAAUUGACGGGGACCCGCACAAGCGGUGGAUUAUGUGGAUUAAUUCGAUGCAACGCGAAAAACCUUACCUACCCUUGACAUGUCCGGAAGCCUGGGGAAACCCGGGUGUGCCCGAAAGGGAACUGGAACACAGGUGCUGCAUGGCUGUCGUCAGCUCGUGUCGUGAGAUGUUGGGUUAAGUCCCGCAACGAGCGCAACCCUUGUCAUUAGUUGCUCCAUUAAGUUGAGCACUCUAAUGAGACUGCCGGUGACAAACCGGAGGAAGGUGGGGAUGACGUCAAGUCCUCAUGGCCCUUAUGGGUAGGGCUUCACACGUAAUACAAUGGCGCGUACAGAGGGUUGCGAAGCCGCGAGGUGGAGCCAAUCCCUAGAAAGCGCGUCGUAGUCCGGAUUGCAGUCUGCAACUCGACUGCAUGAAGUCGGAAUCGCUAGUAAUCGCGGAUCAGCAUGUCGCGGUGAAUACGUUCCCGGGUCUUGUACACACCGCCCGU
rnacentral:rRNA from 1 species